rnacentral:tRNA from 1 species
GGCUCGGUGGCGAAGUGGAAACGCAGGGGUCUGCAAAACCUCGAUGCGGGGGUUCGAUUCCCCCCCGAGCCUCAA